rnacentral:lncRNA from 1 species
CCUGCUUUUCCAUAUUAGCUAAUCCCUCGCCUACGCCUCCAAAACGUCGAAGCCGCACGUGAGGAUCUCCAUAAUAGCAAAUUUCUUUCGUGCAAACCAUUUCUCCUUGCGCUCGCUUCACUGACCGCCGGCCAGACCCAAAAGCCGCACACGCACUGGCCGUGGGUCCCACUUUGUCAUCUCUAUCCUUAUCCCACCGUAGCAAUCUCAAUAGAUACCGUAACAGACUCAGCAGAUGAACGCAUCCGCUGCGCUGGCCAUAGACUGGUGGGGCCCCACGUCUCCGCGCAUGCCAGCCGCCUGCUCCCGCGAUUCCUCCCAUGGGCGCUCGGUGCGCUGGCCGGGUGGCGGGAUCUCCUCCUUAUUCGCCCGUGUAACAAACCUCCCACUCGUCGGGUCUAUCUAUAACCGGGUUUGGGCAUGGGGCGAUAAAGGCAGGGACCUCCAAACCCCACCCUCCAUCUUCCAGAAGCCCUCAUCUCCCUUACCGCCACUCCCAGCCCUGAGGCUGACACCCUCUCCCAUGGAGCCUUGAGCGCCAGAAACAGCCCUGUCAUGGUGCCGCGCCGCAGCAUGGGCAACGCUGCUGUCGCCACCGGGAGCGGCCGGACGGAGGAAGCUUUCGUCGUUCGGUUGGGGCGUUAUCCCGGCGCCAUAACCGUGCCCCUCUGCUCGACUCUUUCUUCCCCGCGCUCUUCUCUCCCAACUUCGGUCGCGGGUGUCGGGGUCCAGACUCUGCACUGCACGGUGAGACACUCCCUAUUUUUUUUACCAUCACUAUCCUCUGCACUCCGCGUAGUAUCCAUCGGAUGGAGUUUUAGGGACCCGGAUGGGAUUUUGAUGGGUGCUGGCAUGGCGCCGCCGUGAGGUGGAAGAAGGGUUGGUAGCCGCUGGAUGGGGAGAGAACGGUUGGGAUUAAAGCUGAGAUCCCCCUUCGAUGCAUUGUGCCCGUGUCGCUGGAGCUUCGGCCAAGGGCCAGGAUUAGACCUCAGUGUGUUUAGGUUCGCGCCGUUAGAUCGUAUUGGACGGUUGGGGCGAGAUCUGGGGCUUAAUAAAAUCGUGACCGCAGAUCUGGCGUUGUGCGGUCGAUGUUGCACACCGGUUCGGAAUGAAUCUGGAUCUAAUCGGCACCCUCACUUUCAGAUCCAACGGCCAGAAUUGACCUGUACCCCUUCAGCCAUGUAAUCUUGCAUAAGAAACCCUAUCUUUAUUAGGAGUAAACCCGCAGACCACAGAUUCUAUUCACUGAGUCUAGGAAAUUUUACCCCAGAGACCCUGAACUUCUCUGUUUUUGUUGCGCAGUUCAAACAAUUAAUAAAACGGGGAAAUCAAUUUAGAGAAUGAUUUUUAGUACGAAAUUUAUUACAGAAACUUGUAAAAUUCCUAGAAAUUUAAUAUGAAGUCCAAAUCAAUCCAUUCCAAUUUAUAUAGUUUUAUAAUAUUAUUUUUUAUCAAUUAGUAUCACUAUUUUGACAUGAAGAUCACAAUAAAAUUUAUAUCCUAUUCAAUCUUGUACAGAACACAUAGAAUCUCUUGAAAUUCAUAACUUAAAAUCUAUAACUCCGAUUUGAUCCGUUCAAGAUGCGUUAGUCUCGUAUAAAUAUUUACUAUGCAAUAACACUAUUUAUUUUACCAUAUCUCAUUAUUUUAUGAUUAGAUCUUUAUUUAACUUAUAUUGGUUAGUCUCGUUAAUGUGUUCAUCAUUAUUUACUAAACUAUGAUAUAUGGCCAAUUUAAAAUUUAGAUUAAAGUUGAGAUAAUUAUUUAUAGAAUAACCUCUUAUAUGAUUUAUAUUAACCAAUUUAUAAUAUAGUUUAAUAUUUUAAUCACAUAAAUCCUGUAUAAAAUCAUAACUCCUUAACCGUAACUCUGAUUUUAGUGGUUCUCGUUCCCACGAUCUCGUAGCGACGCGUAGAUCAUUAUUAUGCAAUUUGUUCUUAUGUUUGGUAUGUUGUUAAUUUUUUCCAUACCAUGUUUGUUUGUAUUGCUACGACUAGCGCGAGGUUUCGAGGAUCUGAAGAAUCACCCUGGUAUCUGAAAUCUUAAGUGCCAAGCAAGUUGUGCCCUUGGUCCACUUUUGUUACCCAAUAAUAUUCUUUAUUAUCACUAUUCAAUGCAUAGGUUUAAUUUUGAUGGGACCCAAUAGAUCACCCUAAUCUGUUUAUCCAUUUUACCUUAUUAUCCCUAAAACACUUGGGUAGUUUUUGCUAUUGCUUUACAUGGUUUUGGGAUAAUAUUUCAUUAUAUUCAUGUUUCAAUUAUUUUGUUAUUCUGUUUAUGUUCAUGUCAAGAUCAUUAAUGUUAAUUGGAACAUGGAGCUUAACUUGAGAAACACGUACCACCACAAGGGUGGAAUGGGACGCCCUUGGCUGACUAAUUAGGAAAGCUAGUGGAAGACUACCUUACCCGAAAGGGGAAAGGGAAGUAGGGGAGUUGCAUGCAAGGAGGUUCUCGGGUUGAUUUUGCUGCGAUGGUGGUCACACGAGUGAUUCUUGCAAGUGCUCUUCCCAUAACUGUAGCAGGUUUUCGGAAGCUAGUAGAACUUUGUAAAGGCCUCGUAGUGGAUCCCUAGCCAUUCACCUUGGUAGUGUCUAAGGGUCUAGCUAAUCCUGGCGACAUGGGAUACACGACUUGUGGGUACAAGGUACAACCUCUGUAGAGUGUAAAACUGGUAUACUAGCCGAGCUCAUGGUCAUGAACAGCUCAGGACUCUCGCAUGAUUAAUUUAUGAAACUUAAAUUCAAUUUGUCAUAUGCAUUGCAUGAGAUUUAUUAUUAAUUUUGUUCUAUUAUUAUUUAUUAUGGUUUGGUAUUUACUUACAUUUAGUAACUACUAAUAAAAUUUGACCAACUUAUUAAAAGCAAUGCUCUGCUUUAACCCCUAUUGUUGAUCAGCCUUACACAUCACAUGAACUCCCACCUUUGGUGAGUUCAUGCCACAUUAUUCCCCAUAACUUGUUGAGCGAUGAACAUGUGUGAGCUCACCCUUGCUGUCUCACACCCCCCACAGGAGAAGUACAGGUGGUUCAAGAGGAGCCACACAACGAGGAGUUCGAUUUGAUCUAGGUGGCGUCUCCCAGUUGACUUUCUGGCGCCAAGAACGAUCCUUAGUUCGUUUUAUAUUUAUAAUUUAUUUUGUAAGUCUUCCGAUAUGUAAUAAAAAUCUGAUUAUAUCGUGACAUUUAUCUCUAUACACUCUGUUAUUAUAUAUGUUGUCUUCUUUGGCGCAUGUAUGAGAUGCACCCGGCUUUGUCCCUUAAAAUCGGGUGUGACAGCAUUUAACUCAUCAUUUAAAUUAUUUAAGCUAGAUAUAGAUUCAUGACAGGUAGACACUUCAGAAGAUAGCAGUUCAUUCUUCUAAUUUCUAAAGCAAGGGAUUUUUGAACACUAACAAAUUUAUCAUGUUCCUCAUACAAAAUGUCCUCUUGCUUUUCUAGAAGUCUAUCCUUUUCAUUAAGAGCAUCAAUUAGUUUAUUUAUUUUGUCUACUUUAGCUCUAUCUAGUCCUUUAAAUAAAUCAGUGUAAUCUACCUCAUCGCUAGAAGAGUACUUGGGCGUAUCUCGAAUGCGUACCUUCUUCUCCUUAGCCAUAAGGCAAGUAUGGCGUUCGUUAGGGAAGAGCGAAAAUUUGUCGAAGGCCGAGGCAGCCAGUCCUUCAUCGUUGGAGUCGGAUGAAGAGCAGUCGAAAUCCCAUUCCUUUCCUAGGUGCGCCUCGCCCUUCGCCUUUCUGUAGUUUUUCUUCUUCUCCCUCUUCCCGUGCUUUUCUUGUCCCUGGUCAUUAUCAUUAUCGGGGCAUUGAGCUAUGAAAUGACCAGUCUUACCGCAUUUGAAGUAGGAGCACUUUCCCCUUGUUUUAUUCUUCUUGGGGUACUCCUUGCGUCCUUCUAGCGCGGUCUUGAAACGCUUGAUGAUAAGCGCCAUUUCAUCUUCAUUGAGCCCAGCAGCCUCCACUUGUGCUACCUUGAUUUGUAGUGCCUCCUUGCUGCUAGUUGCUUUGAGAGCAACAGGCCGCGGCUCGUAGAUGGGCAGUGGACCAUUUAGCGCAUCGUCCACGUAUCGCGCCUCCUUCACCAUCAUGCGCCCGCUCACAAAUUUUCCGAGGAUUUCCUCGGGCAUCAUCUUGGUGUACCUGGGGUUUUCACGAAUAAGGUUCACAAGAUGAGGAUCAAUUACUGUAAAUGACCUGAGCAUGAGUCGGACGAUGUCAUGAUCCGUCCAUCUUGUGCUUCCAUAGCUUUGGAUUUUGUUGACCAGGGUUUUGAGCUUGUUGUAGGUCUGUGUUGGCUUCUCUCCCCUGAUCAUCGUGAACCUCCCUAGCUCACCUUCCAC